GCACUUCGGGAUAAGCCUGGGAAACUGGGUCUAAUACCGGAUAGGACCAUGAGAUGCAUGUCUUAUGGUGGAAAGCUUUUGCGGUGUGGGAUGGGCCCGCGGCCUAUCAGCUUGUUGGUGGGGUCACGGCCUACCAAGGCUCCGACGGGUAGCCGGCCUGAGAGGGUGUCCGGCCACACUGGGACUGAGAUACGGCCCAGACUCCUACGGGAGGCAGCAGUGGGGAAUAUUGCACAAUGGGCGCAAGCCUGAUGCAGCGACGCCGCGUGGGGGAUGACGGCCUUCGGGUUGUAAACCUCUUUCACCAUCGACGAAGGUCCGGGUUUACUCGGAUUGACGGUAGGUGGAGAAGAAGCACCGGCCAACUACGUGCCAGCAGCCGCGGUAAUACGUAGGGUGCGAGCGUUGUCCGGAAUUACUGGGCGUAAAGAGCUCGUAGGUGGUUUGUCGCGUUGUUCGUGAAAACUCACGGCUUAACUGUGAGCGUGCGGGCGAUACGGGCAGACUGGAGUACUGCAGGGGAGACUGGAAUUCCUGGUGUAGCGGUGGAAUGC
rnacentral:rRNA from 1 species